GUUUUAAUAAUUUAACAAAAAUAUUGGUCUUGUAAACCAGAAAUAAGGAUGAACCUUUUAAAACU
rnacentral:tRNA from 1 species